UUCCUGGUGCCAAUGGCGCGGUGGAACCACACCGAUCCCAUCCCGAACUCGGAUGUUAAACGCUGCUGCGGCGAAGAUACUUGGUGGGUAACUGCCUGGAAAAAUAGCUCGGUGCCAGGA
rnacentral:rRNA from 1 species